rnacentral:rRNA from 1 species
GAUGAACGCUCGCGGCAGGCCUAAUACAUGCAAGUCGAACGGGAUCCAGAUCAAAGCUUGCUUUGGUCUGGUGAGGGUGGCGCACGGGUGCGUAACGCGUGAGCAACCUACCCUUGUCAGGGGGAUAGCCCGGCGAAAGUCGGAUUAAUACCGCAUGACAUCAUUGAGAGGCAUCUUUCGAUGAUCAAAGAUUUAUCGGACAAGGAUGGGCUCGCGUGACAUUAGCUAGUUGGUAAGGUAACGGCUUACCAAGGCUGCGAUGUCUAGGGGCUCUGAGAGGAGAAUCCCCCACACUGGUACUGAGACACGGACCAGACUCCUACGGGAGGCAGCAGUAAGGAAUAUUGGUCAGUGGACGGAAGUCUGAACCAGCCAUGCCGCGUGCAGGAAGACGGCCCUAUGGGUUGUAAACUGCUUUUAUACGGGAACAAACGUCGGUACGUGUACCGGUCUGAGUGUACCGUAAGAAUAAGGAUCGGCUAACUCCGUG